UACAGAGGGGGCAAGCGUUGUUCGGAAUUACUGGGCGUAAAGGGCGCGUAGGCGGCCUGCUAAGUCGAACGUGAAAUCCCCGGGCUCAACCCGGGAACUGCGUCCGAUACUGGAAGGCUUGAAUCCGGGAGAGGGAUGCGGAAUUCCAGGUGUAGCGGUGAAAUGCGUAGAUAUCUGGAGGAACACCGGUGGCGAAGGCGGCAUCCUGGACCGGCAUUGACGCUGGGGCGCGAAAGCCAGGGGAGCAAACGGG
rnacentral:rRNA from 1 species